rnacentral:rRNA from 1 species
AUUGAACGCUGGCGGCAGGCCUAACACAUGCAAGUCGAGCGGAGCGGCGGACGGGCGGGUAAGUCCUAGGAGUCUGCCUGGUAGUGGGGGAUAACUUACUGCAACGGGCGCUAACACCUAAUGCUAUCAGAUGAGCCUAGGUCGGAUGAGCUAGCUGGUGGGGUAAAGGCCUACCAAGGCGACGAUCCGUAGCUGGUCUGACUGGAGGAUCAGUCACACUGGAACUGAGACACGGUCCAGACUCCUACGGGAGGCAGCAGUGGGGAAUAUUGCACAAUGGGCGAAAGCCUGAUGCAGCCAUGCCGCGUGUGUGAAGAAGGUCUUCGGAUUGUAAAGCACUUUAAGUUGGGAGGCGUUACCCACAGAAUAAGCACCGGCUAACUCCGUGCCAGCAGCCGCGGUAAUUC